rnacentral:tRNA from 1 species
UGGGGAGUGGUGUAGCUGGCUAGCACGGGUGGCCUUGGCCCACCAGGACCGGGUUCGAAUCCUGGCUCCCCAG